rnacentral:lncRNA from 1 species
ACAGUGUCAUUUACACUAAUCGACCAACAGGGAAAAACUCACAUUAUGACUCGACUGGACUGACAAUGCUCUGAUACCACUAAUGUAACCCCUUCUACCCAAACGACAUAUUUAUAUAUAUAUUAUCAGAGUACAACAUGUAGAAGAGUUUACAUUCUUACAACAUAACACUCAUUACAUUACAACAUAAAACAUAUCAUUUAUUUGAUUUAAAACUUCGCAGCGGACAACAACAUAAAUAUUAUAAUAAUGUUUCAACAUUAUCUCAACAAAACAUCGCAACAAAUUAUUCAUCAUAAAAACACGUAAAUAAUAAUAAUU